UCCAGACUCCUACGGGAGGCAGCAGUGGGGAAUAUUGCACAAUGGGGGAAACCCUGAUGCAGCGACGCCGCGUGAGUGAAGAAGUAUUUCGGUAUGUAAAGCUCUAUCAGCAGGGAAGAAAAUGACGGUACCUGACUAAGAAGCCCCGGCUAACUACGUGCCAGCAGCCGCGGUAAUACGUAGGGGGCAAGCGUUAUCCGGAUUUACUGGGUGUAAAGGGAGCGUAGACGGCUGUGCAAGCCAGAUGUGAAAGCCCGGGGCUCAACCCCGGGACUGCAUUUGGAACUGUGUGGCGGGAGUGUCGGAGAGGCAGGCGGAAUUCCUAGUGUAGCGGUGAAAUGCGUAGAUAUUAGGAGGAACACCAGUGGCGAAGGCGGCCUGCUGGACGAUGACUGACGUUGAGGCUCGAAAGCGUGGGGAGCAAACAGGAUUAGAUACCCGGGUA
rnacentral:rRNA from 1 species